UUUUGGGAAAAGCCACGCUCUUUUCUCCACGCUCUUUUUCUAACGUUUCCUUUUUUUUCGUGAAUGUAAGCACAGUAAGGCUGAUAAUGUCACACCAUUUAACUCUUUUUGAAAAUAAAGGCAUA